rnacentral:rRNA from 1 species
GACGAACGCUGGCGGCGUGCUUAACACAUGCAAGUCGAACGGAAAGGCCCUGCUUUUGUGGGGUGCUCGAGUGGCGAACGGGUGAGUAACACGUGAGUAACCUGCCCCUGACUUUGGGAUAACUUCAGGAAACUGGGGCUAAUACCGGAUAGGAGCUCCUGCUGCAUGGUGGGGGUUGGAAAGUUUCGGCGGUUGGGGAUGGACUCGCGGCUUAUCAGCUUGUUGGUGGGGUAGUGGCUUACCAAGGCUUUGACGGGUAGCCGGCCUGAGAGGGUGACCGGCCACAUUGGGACUGAGAUACGGCCCAGACUCCUACGGGAGGCAGCAGUGGGGAAUAUUGCACAAUGGGCGGAAGCCUGAUGCAGCAACGCCGCGUGCGGGAUGACGGCCUUCGGGUUGUAAACCGCUUUCGCCUGUGACGAAGCGUGAGUGACGGUAACGGGUAAAGAAGCACCGGCUAACUACGUG